GACGAACGCUGGCGGCGUGCCUAAUACAUGCAAGUAGAACGCUGAAGGAGGAGCUUGCUUCUCUGGAUGAGUUGCGAACGGGUGAGUAACGCGUAGGUAACCUGCCUGGUAGCGGGGGAUAACUAUUGGAAACGAUAGCUAAUACCGCAUAAUAGUAGAUGUUGCAUGACAUUUGCUUAAAAGGUGCAAUUGCAUCACUACCAGAUGGACCUGCGUUGUAUUAGCUAGUUGGUGGGGUAACGGCUCACCAAGGCGACGAUACAUAGCCGACCUGAGAGGGUGAUCGGCCACACUGGGAGUGGGACACGGCCCAGACUCCUACGGGAGGCAGCAGUAGGGAAUCUUCGGCAAUGGACGGAAGUCUGACCGAGCAACGCCGCGUGAGUGAAGAAGGUUUUCGGAUCGUAAAGAUCGGUUGUAAGAGAAGAACGAGUGUGAGAGUGGAAAGUUCACACUGUGACGAUAGCUUACCAGAAAGAGACGGCUAACUACGUG
rnacentral:rRNA from 1 species